rnacentral:rRNA from 1 species
AUUGAACGCUGGCGGCAUGCCUAACACAUGCAAGUCGAACGGCAGCACGGGGGCAGCCCUGGUGGCGAGUGGCGGACGGGUGAGGAAUGCAUCGGAAUCUGCCUCGUUGUGGGGGAUAACGUAGGGAAACUUACGCUAAUACCGCAUACGACCUACGGGUGAAAGUGGGGGACCGCAAGGCCUCACGCGAUGAGAGGAGC